UCGAACGAGAAAGCACCCUUCGGGGUGCGAGUAAAGUGGCGAACGGGUGAGUAACGCGUGGGAAACCUGCCCUCGAGUGGGGGAUAACAGCUCUAACGGGCUGCUAAUACCGCAUGACGCCACGGAUCGCAUGAUCUGUGGUUAAAGGAGGCCUCUGUAUAUGCUUCCGCUUGGGGAUGGUCCCGCGUCCUAUUAGCUUGUUGGUGGGGUAACGGCCUACCAAGGCGACGAUGGGUAGCCGGCUUGAGAGAGUGGUCGGCCACACUGGGACUGAGAUACGGCCCAGACUCCUACGGGAGGCAGCAGUCGAGAAGCUUCGGCAAUGGGGGAAACCCUGUCCGAGCGACGCCGCGUGGGUGAUGAAGGUCUUUGGAUCGUAAAACCCUGUCAGGUGGGAUGAAAUGCCAUUUGGUUAAUACCCGAGUGGUUUGACAGUACCGCCAGAGGAAGCUCCGGCCAACUCCGUGCCAGCAGCCGCGGUAACACGGGGGGAGCAAGCGUUGUUCGGAUUUAUUGGGCGUAAAGAGCUCGUAGGCGGCUCCGUAAGUCAGAGGUGAAAGACCACGGCUCAACCGUGGAAACGCCUUUGAAACUGCGGAGCUUGAGGCCGGGAGAGGAAAGUGGAAUUCCUGGAGUAGCGGUGAAAUGCGUAGAUAUCAGGAGGAACACCAGUGGCGAAGGCGACUUUCUGGACCGGUUCUGACGCUGAGGAGCGAAAGCCAGGGGAGCGAACAGGAUUAGAUAC
rnacentral:rRNA from 1 species